UACAUCCCAAUAAAGGACGACCGUACUUGUUCAACUUAUCCCUUUCAACUUGGAUACCGUGAGGCGGACCUUGGAAAGUUUUUGAAUAAGCAGGGGGAAUUCGUAGAUCCUCCAAACGUAGAGCGCGUAAGGCUUUGAAACCAAAUACGUUACCCACAAUGGAAGUAAACAUGUUAGUAACAGAACCCUCUUCAAAUAGGUCUAAUGGAUAAGCUACAUAACAGAUAUAUUGAUCUGGGUCCCCAGGAACGGGCUCGAUGUGAUAGCAUCGUCCUUUGUAACGAUCAAGACUGGUAAGUCCAUCAGUCCAAACAGUUGUCCAUGUACCAGUAGAAGAUUCCGCAGCUACUGUAGCUCCUGCUUCUUCAGGCGGAACCCCGAGCUGAGGAGUUAUUCGGAAUGCUGCCAAGAUAUUCAUAUAUUAGAAAUUAUUAUGUGUACAUCAAAAUAAACACAUUUGUACAACGAGUGAUCUCUUGACAAGAUAAUUAUUUAUUUUUAUUAUUAUAUAUUACAACGAGUGAUCAUAUGUAAGUUUAACGCCCGCACGUCCUCGUUUACCCGUCGGGGAAAGAUUUUUUUUCCGUUUACAUCCUCGUGAGGGAGAACCUUGCACCCCAUCCCCUAAUGGAGGGAUUCCAUGCAAGGAAUCAGGGAUCGGGGUCCAUUGUCAUCUCUAAGUCCACCACAGUUGUGACCAAGAACUUAAAAUAUACUUUUAAACCCGGUAAGUUAUCGAUAAUUAAAUAUAUAUCACUUGUAACUUUAAAAUGAAUAAAAAUUAUAUCAUGAAUUAAAUGGUUUUGGUCUCAAAUAAACUCUAAAAUUUCUAGAAUAAUUAUAUGACCUUCAUUUAGAAUGGUUUUUUAUAUUUGGUGUAUUGCUUCUUAUUUUGUGACCAUAUUUAUUGUAUGUACGCGAGUAGAUUUGGAUUGUUGCACCUGUUCCAAGGGCCUCACUUUUGAGGACUUUGAAACCCUGGAAGAAGGCAGUCCAUGCUCCUAUACCCCAUUAUAUUAAAUGUUCAUUACUGUUUUGGCUAAAUUAUUGCUCCUAGUAGGAUUACUUUAGUGUUUUUACCUUGUCCUUAUUAUACCCGAGAAUUUGUGAACCUUUUUUAGUAGACAAAGGCUAGUGCUCUAUAUUUUUUCAAAAGAGAAAUGUUUUCAAAUGCUUUACGAGAAUUACUUAUGAAAGAUGCUUUUUACCAAACCAUGGGGACAUGACACAUGAGAUAGGAUUGCAUAAGUGUCGCACCCUAAGGACCAGUUUGUCGAGUGACCACCAGUGAUAAACAGUACAAUCACAAGGACUAUUAUGGCUCUGGUCUUGACCAAGUAAUUAGAUGAAAAAUGUUUGGACAUUAGUUAUGGUAGAUAGGGGUGGAGGAAGGCUCCUUAACCCCACUUACGCUUGCAUAGUCCUUAGGUGGGAUGCCCUAGAGGGCCUACAAGUGAGGUUUGUGGUGGAGAGAUAUUACGAGAGAUUACCUUUUAGUAUCUUGUCAUAGUCUAAUACGCACAGGGAUCCUCUGUAUAGAUCUCAUGUGAACCCUGUCACACCUCACCGGAAGCGGUGAAGGGUCUUACAAACCAGGGCAAGUGGGUACCACGCGUUGCGGUUAAAGUUAUACAACCUCUGCACGGUUUCAAUAAACUGAUUAACUAGCCAUGCUCACGGUUAAGAGUGGCCUUUGUGUCCCCAUAGAUUAGAAGUUUGUUUUCCAAAAGCAUAAAACUUCACCAUGAGACUUGGUGAUGUGUCCACUGUGAGAUGUAGCGGAUGGUCCAUGGUGGGAUGCAAUGGAUGUAUUUUCAAAACUUUCGCAAUGAGAUUUGGCGAAUAGUUUAUUGUGCAAUGUAAUGAAUGUGUUUUCAAAACUUUCACCAUGAGACUUAGUGAAUGGUUCAUUGUGAGAUACAAUGAGUGGUCUAUCAAAAGGUUACUUUACUUCAAUGGUUUAUUGUGGGACUUGGUGAACAAUUCAUUGUAGAAUGUAAUGAACAUUGAUGUUAAUGGAUUUUAAUAUAUUUUUAUUCAACAAAGCGUGCUACAAAAAGGGCAUUAGAAUGCCUUUCAAGUACAGUUAAAACAACUAAAGCAAUCACUCAAGCUAGUCCAGUAUGUAGCCACUCCAUUUUUUGCCGCAGUGGGAUAGUUGUUGAGUGCAAAAAUACUGAAUGUUGCCUUCAGUAUUUUGUGUCCACAUGAAGGACAACAGGUGUCCUAGACCUAAGAGUUACAAUAUUAUGACCAGUUUUAGGCCUAACCAGUCGGCUGUGGAGAGUCUAUUGGUGCAUUGGCAUACAAUAUCAUGGUUAUGUAAUAAAUAUUGUGUUACCAUAUUAAUAAAGCAUUGUGUUUUGAUAUAAUCCACUGUAUGACAUUGCUAUAUACAUGUGAUUCACAAUCCAAUGCAUGUACAGUGGACAUUCGGUUUUGUCUUUAAAACCGGGCGCGACAAAACAACAUUUUAAAGUGGUGCCAUUAGUUCUGUUUCUUUCCUCAUUUUGACUCAUAGUGGUGUUUUUUUGCUCCACUAAAGAUCAUAAGGAUAAAUUUAAGCAAAAAACGUGACUAAAAGUAAAAAUAAGAACAAUAACUAAAGGUAUGAUUUUAGAUAGACCUAUUUUAAAUAGGACUGGAAGUCCAGUGGGCCUAGAAUUAUGGGCUUUAUUUUGCUUAUAGAUCACAAACUAGGUCCUUGUACAGCAUAAACCGAGGUCCAUGUCCACCCCCGUCCAGCACGUUUUUGCUGGUUGGAGGCCACGUAGCCUCGAUGAUGAGAUGAGCCUGUUUGGUGCGGUAGUAGGUCUGCCACCAGUCUGUUGUGCUGGCAAUGUACCACCAGUAGCAUCAAGUAUUUCAUUGUACAGAUCGACUGACGGCGAGUGGGCAGGCACAUGCAGAUGCAGCCCACGGUUUUGAACUGGUGGCGGGACAUGUAACCUUAUGUUUGUCGAGUUUCAUCGUAUCCAUCAUUGACAAAAGAGCAGCGAAAA
rnacentral:lncRNA from 1 species